rnacentral:lncRNA from 1 species
GGACCAUCGGAUAUUGGGGUCAGUUGGUAGGGGAGGAACUAGAUGGCUGAAAAUACACAGGGACUGCACAAGCCCAUCACAGUCAAGAUUAGUAAUGCUCAUAUGUGAGUAUGUGCAAUACAUGCACACACAAACACACACACAGACACACACAGAGAUGCACACACAAACACCAAAUACACUCUUCUUCCUCUGAACAUUGCUUCCUUCUUCAUUUCCUGUCUUUGCCUUCUCAUAAAGGUGCUGCUUGCUGCUGCUGCUGAGGUGCCCGGAGUCCAGAAUGCCCAGUAAUCACUCAGGCACAAGCCUGGCACUGCCACGUUCAGUCCUUGGCAAGACCAAACCCUGGUUUCUCUUGCCUGGGGCUGAAAACCGUCAGAUUUUUCUCAUCAAAAAAAAAAAAAAAAAGUUAUCCAAGGAAUCAGUGGAUUAUAGUUACUCUGCAUUAAAAAUGCACUUUAAAAAUAAAUAAAAGCUCCAGACUGUUUAAAACACACAGAGGGAACAGGAGAAAGAUAAACGUGCUAGUGUCUGAACCCAGUUCAGCAUAUCUCCAGUUGAAACAGUAUACACUAUAUUAUGUAUAAAUGUAUACACACUUCUAUAUAUGUCCACAUAUAUGCGGUGUGUGUAUUAUACAGGUAUAGGUGUGUGUGCACGCACACAGGUGCACAUAGCAUAUCAAGUGUUCAUUACAAAUCCAGAUGCUCAUUUCACAAACAGCAGCAGAGGAAACAAGGUUGGACUCUUGCAGCAGAUCACAAAACAAUAAAAACAGCCACUUGCGGUGACGCUGGUCACUGCUGUGUGUUCAUAAGGAAUGGAUUGUAACAAAGGAAAACAAGGAGCAGUGUUAGCAAUUGAGGAAAACUGGGACAGACCAUCUUGAUCCAAUGGGAAUGCAGUAAUGUUCUCUACCAUUUCAUCCGUUCUUUCUGUUAGUCGUGACGAUUUGAUUUUCAUUUUUGCCUAUUAAAAAUGGUUUAGAUUCAAGUGACCACAUCCAAGUGAACAAAACAACCACAGUGAAAGUCCUUUUCAGUAGGAAGAUGUCAGAAAACUCAAAACCCUUGGCCUGGCUCAGAACUACCAUGUGCAAACCAGAACUCUCUCAACGUUUGAAAUAAAAACUUUAAAACUCUUUUUGAAGCACCUUAACGUGGCCAUCCAUUUGACAAGUGGGUGCCACCUUUUUCUUUGAGCACCUUAUUGACGUAUUUUGCUAUCUGCUGUCUUCUGUUACUGUUGGCUGAAUAGCUAGCUGUUAACACACACACAUGUGCACAGACCAGACAUCUGAGCAUGCGUGUUCUCAAUGACGUUUACCGUGGUGACUGCUGGAAGGUGAACUCAUUUUCUGAUUUGCCCACCACAGUGUUGUGAUAAGACUCGAAGAAACCCUGCCCUGCACGGAAAAAUGUCCCUUAUCACGUUGUAUAUUAGGGUGGGAAGGAAUAUGGUCCCCUUUUUGCAAUUGCUACUGUGUAUACAUACACAUGCACACACACACACACACACACACACACACACACACACACACACACACACACUGUAUAUUCAGACAUGAUGUACACACACAAACAUAACUCAUUUGUCCAAGUGAUAUUUCAGAUGUUUCUGUGGGUGUCACACACCAUGUGCAGUUUUCCACUUCCCAGAGAAUUUUGAGUGGAGGGUAACUUUUCAGACUGAUGAACGGGGCACUGAGGAAGAGUUUGAAGUGGGAGGCAAGAAAGGAGAGAGCAUUAAGUCAAAAGAAUAAUUUCCCAAGAGAAGCUGGAGGAAUGGCUGUCCUUGCAGGUGGGUGUGGAACACUGCUGUCUCAGUCUGCACUGUAGAAAUCCAUGCACACAUCAACACACACACACACACACACACACACACACAUACACACAUCCCCCCACAGGGGCGUGGUCUGGGAUGAGCAGGUCAAUAGUUUUGAGAGGGAGUUUGUUCCUUUUUUUUCUCUCAUUAUACUCUUGUCAGUUAUUAAACAAACAAACAGAAAAAAAUUGUUUUGAAAAACCUUGCGUACGCCUUUUCUAUCAAGUGCUUUAAAAUAUAGACUAAAUACACACAUCCUGCCAGUUUUUCUUACAGUGACAGUACCCUUACCUGCCAUUUAAUAUUAGCCUCGUAUUUUUCUCACGUAUAUUUACCUGUGACUUGUAUUUGUUAUUUAAACAGGAAAAAAUUUCAAAAAAAAGAAAAAUUAACUGUAGCGCUUCAUUAUACUAUUAUAUUAUUAUUAUUGUGACAUUUUGGAAUACUGUGAAGUUUUAUCUCUUGCAUAUACUUUAUACAGAAGUAUUACGCCUUAAAAAUACGAAAAUAAAUUUUACAAGGUUUCUGUUUUGUGUGGAAGAGUAAUUGAUGUUGCUAAGAAUGAUGUUUGUUUUUUGGGGUUUUUGUUGUUUUUUUUUUUAAAUGUUACCAGCACUUUUUUUGUAAGUUUCACUUUCUGAGGUAUUGUACAAGUUCACACUGUUUGUGAAGUUUGAAUAUGAAGGAAUAAUU